rnacentral:rRNA from 1 species
CUAACACAUGCAAGUCCGAACGGUGAAGCCCAGCUUGCUGGGUGGAUCAGUGGCGAACGGGUGAGUAACACGUGAGCAAUCUGCCCCUGACUCUGGGAUAAGCGCUGGAAACGGCGUCUAAUACUGGAUAUGAACCGUGGAGGCAUCUUCAACGGUUGGAAAGAUUUUUUGGUCAGGGAUGAGCUCGCGGCCUAUCAGCUUGUUGGUGAGGUAAUGGCUCACCAAGGCGUCGACGGGUAGCCGGCCUGAGAGGGUGACCGGCCACACUGGGACUGAGACACGGCCCAGACUCCUACGGGAGGCAGCAGUGGGGAAUAUUGCACAAUGGGCGCAAGCCUGAUGCAGCAACGCCGCGUGAGGGAUGACGGCCUUCGGGUUGUAAACCUCUUUUAGCAGGGAAGAAGCGAAAGUGACGGUACCUGCAGAAAAAGCGCCGGCUAACUACGUGCCAGCAGCCGCGGUAAUACGUAGGGCGCAAGCGUUAUCCGGAAUUAUUGGGCGUAAAGAGCUCGUAGGCGGUUUGUCGCGUCUGCUGUGAAAUCCCGAGGCUCAACCUCGGGUCUGCAGUGGGUACGGGCAGACUAGAGUGCGGUAGGGGGGAUUGGAAUUCCUGGUGUAGCGGUGGAAUGCGCAGAUAUCAGGAGGAACACCGGUGGCGAAGGCAGAUCUCUGGGCCGUAACUGACGCUGAGGAGCGAAAGGGUGGGGAGCAAACAGGCUUAGAUACCCUGG